rnacentral:rRNA from 1 species
AUGAACGCUGGCGGCGUGCCUAAUACAUGCAAGUCGAGCGAACAGACGAGGAGCUUGCUCCUCUGACGUUAGCGGCGGACGGGUGAGUAACACGUGGAUAACCUACCUAUAAGACUGGGAUAACUUCGGGAAACCGGAGCUAAUACCGGAUAAUAUAUUGAACCGCAUGGUUCAAUAGUGAAAGACGGUUUUGCUGUCACUUAUAGAUGGAUCCGCGCCGCAUUAGCUAGUUGGUAAGGUAACGGCUUACCAAGGCGACGAUGCGUAGCCGACCUGAGAGGGUGAUCGGCCACACUGGAACUGAGACACGGUCCAGACUCCUACGGGAGGCAGCAGUAGGGGAUCUUCCGCAAUGGGCGAAAGCCUGACGGAGCAACGCCGCGUGAGUGAUGAAGGUCUUCGGAUCGUAAAACUCUGUUAUUAGGGAAGAACAAAUGUGUAAGUAACUAUGCACGUCUUGACGGUACCUAAUCAGAAAGCCACGGCUAACUACGUG